GAUGAACGCUGGCGGCGUGCCUAAUACAUGCAAGUCGAACGGGGAGUCGCAAUACUCUUAGUGGCGAACGGGUGAGUAACGCGUUGGUACCUGCCCCGAAGCGGGGGAUAACGGACCGAAAGGUCCGCUAAUACCCCAUGUGCUCGGUAACGAGUAAAGGUGAAAACCACUUUGGGAGGGGCCUGCGUCCCAUCAGCUAGUUGGUAAGGUAACGGCUUACCAAGGCGAUGACGGGUAGGGGACCUGACAGGGUGGCCCCCCACAAUGGAACUGAAACACGGUCCAUACACCUACGGGUGGCAGCAGUAGGGAAUAUUGGUAAUGGGCGCAAGCCUGAACCAGCAACGCCGCGUGUGCGAUGACGGCCUUCGGGUUGUAAAGCACUUUUGACUGGGACGAGGAAGGACGGUACCGGUCGAAUCAGCCUCGGCUAACUACGUG
rnacentral:rRNA from 1 species